AUCCUUUUGUAGUUCAUAAGCGUAAUGAUUGGAUGUAUCACGUGGCUGCAUGAUGUGCGCCUCCCUCGAUCCUUGUUACGACUGCGGCACAUUACCCGUCUGACG
rnacentral:snoRNA from 1 species